AGCUUGACUAAAUCAGCGGUGCGGAUAACUCAAUUUUCAGUUUCAUAAAAAGUAAACUUGACUAAAUCAAUGAAACCGAAAAAUCAUUUAGCUGUUUCUUCAAAAGUGUGCUUGAAAGCUUGACUAAAUCAGCGGUGUGGAAAUUGUAAUUAGAUGUUUCUUUAAUCUACCGACUUUUUGUUGCAUCAGCGAAAAGUGUAGUUGAUAAAGUUUUUGCCACCACCUACUAUAAAUAUGCUUUACAUAAUUGUUUCACAAUUCUAGCUCUUUACUGCGUGCUUUUGAUGAAAUCUUUCCUUCGUUAAAUAUUUUCUUUUCUACAUCUGCUCUGGUUUAUUCUGACGCCUUCUACGAGCAGUUAAAUGGAUCAGAGCUACAAUUGCAGCCGCAGCGAGGGAGAUGUAAUUGAUGAAAACGUUCAAUUUAAAACGGUUACAGUUCAAAUGUCCAGGCUGCAAUUUUGUCAACCAGACACAUCAUUUCAAACAGGAACCAUCAACAGAAGUGAAGACCUUUCUAUGCCAAAAAUGUGACGGCUACUUUUUGUUGACAGAGGAGAAAACAUUCGAUUAUCUAAGCGUGCAGGCACGCUACACUCGAACUUCUGGCCCCGAACUAGAAAAACGGAAAAUCAACAUUCGUUUGUGUUUUAUAGUCGGUUGGAAGUUGUCCAACGAGGAAGAAAUUAUACGUUAUCUGUUGCCUAAAAUGUUUACGGUAAUUUUAUUGGAACAAGAUGGCGCAGAAAUUCUCAAGGAUAUUAGAUACAAAAACUGACUGCUUUAAUGCCAACAUAUCGAGGUCUGCUUCAUUUCUCAUACUUUAACUUUUGAUUUUUAGAAUUAUCAAUAGAAUAAUCAAGAGAAAAAUCCCAGAUUUAGGCGCAAGUUCUUUUGUAGCUACUUUCAUAUAUCAUUGAAUUUUACAAACAGUUUGAAUCGAAAGUAAACUGUUUAAAUGUUCAUCACGGAGUUCAAAUACUCAAGAAAAUUCAAGUUUUACUAGCAUUCAAAAUCUCUGGUUUGGUUCACAGAUAUUAAAUUUUCGAAUUCACACUGUUUACAGACAAGCACAUGUCAAGAUAUGGUUCUCUGCUUCACUGAAUUGAACUUUUUGUUUCAAUGCUUUUUAUAAUGAUCACUAUCAUAUGUUUAAGAAAAGUUUUUUUUUUGGAGCUACUGAUUUUAUCUUUGAAUGUUUUUACUAUGAAG